UACGAAGGGAGCUAGCGUUGUUCGGAAUUACUGGGCGUAAAGGGCGCGUAGGCGGCUCAGCAAGUUGGAUGUGAAAGCCCAGGGCUCAACCCUGGAAUAGCAUUCAAGACUGCUUUGCUUGAAUUCGGUAGAGGUUGGUGGAAUUCCCAGUGUAGAGGUGAAAUUCGUAGAGAUUGGGAAGAACACCCGUGGCGAAGGCGGCCAACUGGACCGACAUUGACGCUGAGGCGCGAAAGCGUGGGGAUCAAACAGG
rnacentral:rRNA from 1 species